UAUUCCGUCUUUCAUCAGGUU
ensembl:piRNA 21ur-3368 ncRNA